CUGUUUUAUCAGCAAGGUCUUUACGACCUGGAUUUUGUGCUGACCUCCUAUCUCAUCCUGUGACUUAGAACGCCUGAGAAUGACUUGAAAUGCAGCCCAGUAGAUCUCGACCUCAUUUUACCCAGCCCUCCGGUUCACACGCCUCUGACACUCCUGCCGAGGGCGCGACGUCUUGCCUGCCUGGCGUGCGGCAGCUCCGCGUGGGGCUUCAUCCCAGGUCUGGUGCUGGAGAGUUCAAGGAAAUACAGGACGGCAGAGGGGGCGUGGGUGCAGGGUGGGCUCCCAAUGCCUCAUCCAGUGGCCAUCUGGGGACAGGGUUGGAUGCCGCUGGUGCCUGACUCUGAUUCAUGAGAUGAGCGAGGAAUGACUGAACACUCUCUGGGAGCCUUGGGCAGACAUUUGCUUUUGGCUGAGGCUGGCACCCCAGGGUGGCCACCCUAACUCCCCAGCGUGUACCCUCCUGUGCCUGUGCGGCCCCCGUGCUUCUGCAGUUAGGACCUCUCUAGGCUGUUCCUGGGGCGCUGGGGGGGUUCUCCUCCUGGCAGGCCCUGGUGUGAGCAUGAAGCUGCACGACCAUCAGUGACUCGCCAGUUCUCUUCCUUGCCUCCCCUCCUCUGACCCUUCCCUCACCACACGACUGCGUUUUUGGGAUGCCCAAAGCUCCCUAGGACAGACCGUUUCCUGCUCUGUCUUCCCACGAAGCUGCCCCGUGCACGGUGCUCGCGUGAGGACACUCGGAUGCAGGGAUCACUCUGUGUCCUCAGAUGAGCGCCGGAUUUGUGCAGCGGGGACCGGCCCCUCUGCCUGGCAGUGGCACCAUCUGCUGCCAGUCCCUCAGGCCUGCAGAGCUCCCGCAGAGAGCCCGUCUGGCUUGGGCCUCCUCCUCUUCUCUGCCAGCGCUCAGAGGGAGGUGGCGCAAGGGCCAGGUGGCACCCACCUGCUCCCCUCCUCUCUCACCACCAGGCAGCCCCCCACCAAGCCCCCGCUGUGGGAAGCUUGAGGGUGGCUGACUUGGCCGGGGGCGGGUGGUGGUCACCGGGCUGUUUGCUGCUGAUAUUCCCAGGUCUCCGCUUUUGGGGAUGUGGAAGGAGACCCAUCCUGGUUUCCCAGUGGUUGGAUGGAGCAAAGUAAAUGGUUCUGGCUUCGAUGGUAGCAGAAGUGAUGAGUUGAGAGUGGCCUCUAGGCUGGGCACUUAAUUUCUAAUGUGAGUCUUCUCAAAAUUCUUUCUGCCUCUUCUACUAAGCAGCCAAAUUCCAGAGGAAAGACCCCGAACUCUAGCCUUGGCGUGAGGGAACAUGUAGGGGAGCCCUGCCCUUCCCGUGGGAUUCAGUGGCAGGAAAGCUGAUCCCGACUGACACAGGCCCUGUGGAAACUGCCUCUUGUUCAGAAAGAAGGAGCUGCUCCUGGCUAGAGGAGCCCUGGUGAUUCAUGUGGUGCAACCCUUUACAGAAGGGGAAACUGAGGCCCAGAGCGGGAAGGAUGGAGUCUCAGGUCACAGAGCCAGUUGGCUGGUGCCACAGCUGGGAGGCAGAUUGCUUGCCUUGCUGGUAUCUUCCUUGUUGAGUCACAAUUGCUUCCAGAGACUGGAUUUGUGGAAAUGCUUCUAAAGCAGAACAGAAAAACAAAUGGUCCGACUUUGGGGUGAGGGAGAGUUAAUAAAGAGAAUUUUUAUUGAA